UACGUAGGGUGCAAGCGUUAAUCGGAAUUACUGGGCGUAAAGCGCACGUAGGCGGAUCUUUAAGUCAGGGGUGAAAUCCCAAGGCUCAACCUUGGAACUGCCUUUGAUACUGGGGAUCUCGAGUCCGGAAGAGGUUGGUGGAACUGCGAGUGUAGAGGUGAAAUUCGUAGAUAUUCGCAAGAACACCAGUGGCGAAGGCGGCCAACUGGUCCGGUACUGACGCUGAGGUGCGAAAGCGUGGGGAGCAAACAGG
rnacentral:rRNA from 1 species